rnacentral:rRNA from 1 species
GUGAUCCUGCGCCGAAGAUUUCCGGGGCUAAAACUUACUACCGAAGCUACGGCAUCAUUAUGAUGGGUAGGGGAGCUUCCCAUACGGGUUGAAGCAUGACCGUACGGACAUGUGGACAGUAUGGGAGUGAGAAUGUUGGCCUGAGUAGCGAGCUGUGGGUGAGAAUCCCACAGGCCGUAAACCCAAGGUUUCCAGGGGAAGGUUCGUCCGCCCUGGGUUAGUCGGGACAUAAGCUUAGUCCGAAAGGCG